GAUCAUGGCUCAGGACGAACGCUGGCGGCGUGCGUAACCCAUGCAAGUCGAACGAGCAGAUUUCCUUCGGGGAAGAAGCGAGUGGCGGACGGGUGAGUAACGCGUGAACAACCAACCCUAUACAGGGGGACAACAGCUGGAAACGGCUGCUAAUACCGCAUAAGACCACAAGGUCGCAUGGCCAAGGGGUCAAAGGAGCAAUCCGGUAUAGGACGGGUUCGCGUCCCAUUAGCUAGUAGGCGGGGUAAAGGCCCACCUAGGCG
rnacentral:rRNA from 1 species